AAACUGAUGAUCAGGUGCUUGAAGUGACUUCCGAAGAUCAGGAAGACAGCAUAUGGCAGGGACAGGAACCCACGCCUACGCCCCAGCCUCUUUUUACCGAACCUUGUUCUUCAGGAAGUGGUUAAAACACCUGGGCUACUCCCAGCAAAACGCCAGUCACGCAGUCCUGAAACAGGUCCUCUAAGGUGCCCAGCCCAACACAGGCUGGGCGUGCUGAGCCAACAGAAUGUUUGUUCCUCUGUCCCUUCCUAGAACCCCAAGUCACCUUUCUCCAGCCAGUUAAAAACGUUACUUUUAACUAGGAUGACGUUUCAAUUUAUCGGCCAUAUCCAAGCAUUUCUGAGAAUGAACUGUGAGACAUGCUAUUAAUAAAUUAACCAUGAACAGCA
ensembl:lncRNA novel transcript